rnacentral:lncRNA from 1 species
AUGAUUUUACACAGCUACCAAAAAUUGUUUCAUUUUUUGGCAUCUUUGGGAAGGAAGGUGAGCUGUAUGAAGGUGUACCCCAGCCAGGGCACCAUCCCCAUUGCCAGGCAGUUUGGGGUUUGGGAGGGGGUACCCCAGCCAGGGCACUGUCCCCAUUGCCAGGCAGUUUGGGGUUUGGGAGGGGGUACCCCAGCCAGGGCACUGUCCCCAUUGCCAGGCAGUUUGGGGUUUGGGAGGGGGUACCCCAGCCAGGGCACUGUCCCCAUUGCCAGGCAGUUUGGGGUUUGGGAGGGGGUACCCCAGCCAGGGCACUGUCCCCAUUGCCAGGCAGUUUGGGGUUUGGGAGGGGGUACCCCAGCCAGGGCACUGUCCCCAUUGCCAGGCAGUUUGGGGUUUGGGAGGGGGUACCCCAGCCAGGGCACUGUCCCCAUUGCCAGGCAGUUUGGGGUUUGGGAGGGGGUACCCCAGCCAGGGCACUGUCCCCAUUGCCAGGCAGUUUGGGGUUUGGGAGGGGGUACCCCAGCCAGGGCACUGUCCCCAUUGCCAGGCAGUUUGGGGUUUGGGAGGGGGUACCCCAGCCAGGGCACUGUCCCCAUUGCCAGGCAGUUUGGGGUUUGGGAGGGGGUACCCCAGCCAGGGCACUGUCCCCAUUGCCAGGCAGUUUGGGGUUUGGGAGGGGGUACCCCAGCCAGGGCACUGUCCCCAUUGCCAGGCAGUUUGGGGUUUGGGAGGGGGUACCCCAGCCAGGGCACUGUCCCCAUUGCCAGGCAGUUUGGGGUUUGGGAGGGGGUACCCCAGCCAGGGCACUGUCCCCAUUGCAGGCAGUUUGGGGUUUGGGAGGGGGUACGUACGCUGCUCGCAGCUCUCCCCCAGCCAGCCUGGGAGGCAGUGGCAGGAGCCCAGCACGUGGUCACAGCCAGCAGCAUUCUUGCACUUGCACACCUGGUGGCAGUCAAUCCCAAAGAAUCCGUCUGGACAAGCUGGAAAUGCAAAACAUUCCUUUUUAGCACAGUUUCUGCUUCUUUUUUUUUUUUUUCCUGCAUAAACUCCUCUUUUCACAAAUGCUUAAGAGCUGUGUUGCAUCAAGGGUUAAGCCUGCCCAGUUCUGCUACGUGUAUCUUGGAGAAAUGUGACCCUUUUACACAAGCAACAUAUUUCUGCACAGGAAAACAGGGCUGA